rnacentral:lncRNA from 1 species
AGGCUGUUGGGCUCAGAAGGGUCUGCCAGAAAGCUAAAGAUCUAAGUCAAGACCUAUGGUAUCUCCUGCAGGAAUCUCCAGGCACCUUGGGAGGAUGGACAGUCUGGGCUCAUUUGAUGAAGAGUCUGCUGCAAGCUCAUGGGGACUUGACUUCUGAUCCCCAGAAGUCAUGUAAAAGCCAUGCAUGGUGACACGCAUCAGGAGCCUCUGAUCUAGGAAUGCAGAGCUAGGAAACAACAAAAAAACCAACAGCUUGUCCACAGAACAUCACCCUUUUCCAGUAUGAAUGACAUUGGCAUAUAGACAAAGUUCUUU